GCCCCUCGCAGCGUAGGAGCGCUCCCCAGGGGCUGUGGGUGGGAUGCUGCGCGCGACAGGCCCCGUCUCGUGUGGGACGUUGACAGCGAGCAGCUGUGGCUUGCAAGCACGGUCUUCUCAUCCCCGCAGACUUCCCGUCUCAUGGCUGUGAGCCCUCCGAGGGGAAAUGCCCGGAGGCUGCAUUAAUUGGGACCGUUGUGUUGCAACAGAGAUUGCUUCAGUUUACUUCCAGUAACCGGCGAUGCUGGGUCCACGCUGCCCUGCUUCAUGAGGAGAAAUGGAAUAUCAGUCCUGGAAAAGCCCGGAAAGAGUUCCCAAGAACCGCCAGUAACUGGGACCGCUGACCUCAGGGAGACCAGCCCGAAAAUACGAGCUUCUAGACCCCCUCGAGCUCCCGGAGUCAGCGGAUCUUCAGCUACUGCGUGCUCUCUCUUAUCAUCCCGUCAUUAAGUGGCCGGCUUGCUAUCCAGAUCAUAGUCCUAAGGAGGAAAAUCCAGUUUGCUUAGCUGAUCUCUGUGUACAAGCACUGUGUUCAACGGUCCUUUCUCUAAUAGAGUGCCAUAACUUUUAGCUAGACUAAGCGUCCUCAGGGUGAUCCUGAAACUGGAGUUCUCUACUUCUCCUGGCACAUGGGGUCUGUUUACGCCGCAGGUCUCUGCAGCUGAGAAACAUGUUGCCGCUCUGAAUGGCAGGCUACAUCCUCCAGUGUUGCAGCAGACCCCAGCAGCUCACCACCAGUUUCCUCUUUUGGCGUUCUUGUCUCAUGAAUUCAAAGAAUGAAAUCCACAAGGGUAAACAUAUUGAUCAGCAGCAGCUCCAGAAAACACAUUUUAUCUACUAAUCCUAUAUCUCUCCCAACACCUGGCUCCUCACCAACCAGGUAAGACCUCUCUUGACUCUUUGCAAACCUUUUUUUGCU